CAUGAAGAAAAGCGGUUCUGGAAGAGGAACUGAAUCUUUUGCAAGAGAUAAAUCUGUAAGUAAUGAGAACCGAGAAGAACUGGUUAAAUUGUGCCUCUGGCUUGGAGAUGAGCAGAAGUUUCUGAAUAAUUAUGGAAUGAUCUGGGUUGGAAGUUGCAAAGAACAUGAUGAGCAGGCCAACUUCCUGGAGCAAGUAAUGCAUGCAAGACUUUUGAAAUGAACUAUGACCUGGUCCUGCAGAACAUCCAGGAACUGAACAUCAUAGCAGGGGAAGGGGAAUCCCAUGUGACCGCCACUCCUGGUGGAGCCAAACUUACCCAGCAGCUUCCGUACCUCUUUGGCUAAUAUGGCAUUGUCAUGUUCAGUGGUCCAUUCCGCUCCUAUCAAGACCCAAGUACAUGUUUUCUGUUAUUUUCCUGCUUUAUCACUUACAUCACUUAGUUUGACUACAUAAAUACCAUACAUUUUCCACAGCCAGCUUCCGUUUACUGAUGAAUCAUCAGAUUUGUCGUUCCUUGUAAGUUUUGCCCUCCAGUUGCAGGAAUGCAUGCAGGACUUGAUGGAUGGGUUUUUUUCCUUCUGGUGUGCCCUUCCAAGUGUGGACUGUGAAUCCAUGAAUCAGUUUUCAUCAUUAUGAUUACUAUUGCUCAUAUUUAGGAUAAUAGAUUGACUACACAAUCAGUUCACAAGCUUGGGUUGAUAAUAUUUGUAAAUGUUUUUGAAAGUCUUUUAUGCUCACCAAGGCUGCAUUUAUUUGAUCUAAAAUACAGUAAAAAUUAAUAUUAUUAUUAAUACUUAAAACAUCUGUGCUGCAUAAUAUUUUUGUGGGAACUAAUCAAUUUUUUUCAGGAUUUUUUGAUGAAUUUAAAGUUGAAUUUAUUUGAACAUUAUGUACUUUUGUAUGUUAUAAAUGUCUUUAUAUGCACUUACGAUCAAUUUAAUACAGCUUUGCUGAAUAAAAGUAUUAAUUUCAUUCAAACACAAAAAAAAAAAUUGUUAGUGACCCAAAACUUUUGAACAAUAUAAUCUAGUGCUGUCAAACGAUUAAUCAC
rnacentral:lncRNA from 1 species